rnacentral:lncRNA from 1 species
AGCGCGUCCUUUCCACUCAGCGGCAACUGGGAUUCCGUGAGAUUUGAUUCACUUCUGAGAAACAAGACAAAAAAACAAAACAAAACCAAAAUAAAAUAAAUAACAAUCUAAGUGAUCAGCAUCAGCCUGAUGGGCCCGGCCCCGGAGAGCAGCGAGUUCGUGCACAGAACAUGGGUACAAUGUGAGAAUGAGAGCUGCCUGAAAUGGAGGCUGCUGUCCCCUGCAGCUGCAGCCGCAGUGAACCCCAGCGAGCCCUGGUACUGCUUCAUGAACACUGACCCCAGCUACAGCAGCUGCUCCGUCUCCGAGGAGGAUUUCCCUGAAGAAUCUCAGUUCCUUGAAAACGGGUAUAAGUUUGUCUAUUCACAGCUACCUCUCGGAAGCCUGGUUUUGGUAAAAUUACGGAAUUGGCCAAGGUAAGAAACGUAUUUAUUGUUCAUUACUUAUUAAUUAAUCAUUACUUAAUUACUGAUUUCUUUAAUUUUUUUAUUAUGUUUACUUACGUGCAUGCAUGCUUGGGGGCCUGUGUUCAUGGACAUGUGUUUGUGUGUGUCUGUGUCUGUUUUUUUAUCUCUGUGUUUUAGUAGAUCAAAUACCAAUAGCCUCACUCACACUGGCUAGGCAAACACUUCUGCCGAGCGUCGUGCUCAGCCCUGUGCUCUGCAUUUGGCAUAGCUGUGUCUGUUCAUGUAUUUGCUCUCCCUGUAUUUCAGAGGAAAUUUUACAGUAUUCUGAGUGUGUGCAGCUGCCAGUAGUACCCUUUCAGAACCUCUUACUAGGUUUUGUAAGCUGUUACACUACAAAACUCAAGUAUAUUGGGUUGUUAUCUUGUUCUCUAUGAAGACCGUAAGGAAUCAGUCAUAAGAGAGGUGAUUACUUGCUCGUUCUGACAUGCACAUGUGUGUAAUAGGUGAUCCAGUCAAUACAUAGACUCAGGUUCUUGCUGUCUCACUCUCUUGCACUGAAUUAUGUUGAAUGCUGCCAUGACACCUUAGAAUGACCAUAUUAGGAUGUAGGGCCUUUAAAGAAGUGACUAAUUACAAGUAAGACCCAAUAGGGUAUGACUUAAUCUAGUCUAGCUAGUACUCUUGUAAGACAGCGAUUUAGGGAUACACAUGCAGACUAGAAAGUCUGUGUGAAAAUGCAGAAGAAAGGUGACAUCUGCACUUGCCAGAUAACACUCACGAUAAAGCUUACUGAGAGGCUACUGUAGAGACACCAAAAUGGGACCAAUAGUUACAUCUCCCUGUGAAACCUGGACAUUUAGUAUCUGUGAGAGAGAAAAAAAAAGGCAAAUAGGAACAGCAAAGAGAUCAUCUGAUACAUUUGAGAAAUGAGAACUUAAAGCGUUAUUGGGGAGUACAGCAGGCCGAACUGAGCAACAGAUUCAACUACAACAGGGCAAAGAGCAAUUCAAGAUGCUGGAGCAUAGAACUCUGGAAACAUUAAAUGUAACACAGAUCAUUUCC